UUGGCACGGCCAGCAGCGGGGUGGCCGGACAUCGGACGCCUCCAAAUCAACACAGUAUCCCGGACCUCCCACCACAGCCCCCAUGCAGCGCUUGUACCGGAAAUGUGUGGCCUGAGCCCAGUGACAAGGAAACCGAGACCGCGAAUCCAGAGCGCAGGCGUCUGCAGGUCACCGGCCGGAGCUGUCAAAGGAAUCACAGGCAGUGCGGAUGGACUAGACUGGGGCAUUCCAGAGACGCGUCUCGGCCAAGCCAGUGUGUGAACCUCGAGUGCAUCCUGAUGGACAAUGGUAGCGCGUGGGAGAAUGCCUUUCUUGGAAAGCUGAACGCUGGAGUAUCUAAGGAAGAUGCAUCCUGGGAUAUUUGGAGUGAACUGUCAUCAUGUCUGCAACUUACUUUGACCUGGCCAAAUGUUUCAAUUCUGGCUGAUGGGCAUAUGAGUGUUCCUUUUGUCAUUCCUUCAC